rnacentral:rRNA from 1 species
GGGUCAGUAGGUUGGUCGUGCCACCGGUACGUACUGGUCUCACUGAUUCCUCCUUCCUGAAGAACCGUAAUGCCAUUAAUUUGGUGUUGCGGGGAAACAGGAGUGUUACUUUUAACAAAUUAGAGUGUUUAAAGCAAGCUAACGCUUGAAUACAUUAGCAUGGAAUAAUGAAAUAGGACGAUCGAUCCUAUUUUGUUGGUUUCUAGGAUUGACGUA